AGAGUAACUUCAAGUCAUUUCACUUUAAUGCAUGCUAAUGAUUACACGAAUAUUUUUGGAUCGCGAUGUGAAGAAACAACGUUGUUGUGUGUACGAGAUGGGCAA
rnacentral:lncRNA from 13 species